rnacentral:rRNA from 1 species
GAUGAACGCUGGCGGCGCGCCUAACACAUGCAAGUCGAACGAUUAAAGCACCUUCGGGUGUGUAUAAAGUGGCGAACGGCUGAGUAACACGUGGGCAACCUGCCCCUUUCAUUGGGAUAGCCACGGGAAACCGUGGAUAAUACCGAAUACUUCGAGACUUCCGCAUGGAAGACUCGAGAAAGCUCCGGCGGAGAGGGAUGGGCCCGCGGCCUGUUAGCUUGGUGGUGGGGUAACGGCCUACCAAGGCAAUGAUGGGUAGCUGGGUUGAGAGACCGACCAGCCAGAUUGGGACUGAGACACGGCCCAGACUCCUACGGGAGGCAGCAGUGGGGAAUCUUGCACAAUGGGCGAAAGCCUGAUGCAGCGACGCCGCGUGCGGGAUGAAGGCCUUCGGGUUGUAAACCGCUUUCAGCAGGGACGAGGCGAAAGUGACGGUACCUGCAGAAGAAGCCCCGGCUAACUACGUG